rnacentral:rRNA from 1 species
CCUACGGGGGGCAGCAGUGGGGAAUAUUGCACAAUGGGGGAAACCCUGAUGCAGCGACGCCGCGUGAGUGAAGAAGUAUUUCGGUACGUAAAGCUCUAUCAGCAGGGAAGAAAAAAAGUCCUUUGGACUUUGGACGGUACCUGACCAAGAAGCCCCGGCUAACUACGUGCCAGCAGCCGCGGUAAUACGGAGGAUGCGAGCGUUAUCCGGAUUUAUUGGGUUUAAAGGGUGCGUAGGCGGACUGUUAAGUCAGCGGUAAAAGCCCGGGGCUCAACCCCGGCGAGCCGUUGAAACUGGCUGUCUUG